GACGAACGCUGGCGGCGUGCCUAAUACAUGCAAGUCGAACGCAGUGGGGACGGGUGAGUAACACGUGGGUAACCUCCCAUCAGAGGGGAUAACACUUGGAAACAGGUGCUAAACCGAUACUGAUGGAUGGACCCGCGGUGCAUUAGCUAGUUGGUGAGGUAACGGCUCACCAAGGCCACGAUGCAUAGACGACCUGAGAGGGUGAUCGGCCACACUGGGACUGAGACACGGCCCAGACUCCUACGGGAGGCAGCAGUAGGGAAUCUUCGACAAUGGGCGAAAGCCUGACGCAGCCAUGCCGCGUGAGUGAAGAAGGUUUUCGGAUCGUAAAGCUCUUUUGUUAGGGAGGCGUUAUCGAAACAGAAAGCCCCGGCUAACUACGUGCCAGCAGCCGCGGUAAUUC
rnacentral:rRNA from 1 species